UGGUAAGAAAUUUAAGUUUCUUUUCUUUUCUUUUUCUCUUGUAAUGAGUUUUGGCACUGCUAUGCUUGGCAAAUGUGGUAACUUGUGAAGUCUUCUCUACUGGCUGAUUGCUGAAAGCUGAUUACUUUUUCAUCUAGUUCUGAUCUUUCCAGUGAGUGAUUAGGUGCUACCUCUCCUUAAUCUCUCAUCAUAAUCUUCUUCUAGUUCUAUUUCUUCUCUGGUUCCUUCUGAAUUUACUCCUCCCCCAAAUACAUCGAAUUCUAGUUCUAACUAUAUAUUUGCUGAAACUAAAUUUCUUCUUCCAA